GAAUCACAGAUUCAACUAGGUUGGAAAAGACCUUUGAGACCUCAUCAAGUUCAACCUAUGACCAAACAUCAUCUUGUCAACUAGACCAUGGCACUGAGUGCCACAUCCAGUCUUUUCUUAAACACCUCCAGGGAUGGUGACUCCACCACCUCCCUAGGCAGCCCAGUCCAAUGCCCCCUCACCCUUUCUGUGAAGAACUUCUUCCUAAUGUCCAACCUAAACCUCCUCUGAUGCAGCCUACCAACACAGAUUCCU